rnacentral:rRNA from 1 species
UACGAAGGGGGCUAGCGUUGCUCGGAAUCACUGGGCGUAAAGGGCGCGUAGGCGGUCUCUUAAGCGUGUGGUGAAGCCCGGGGCUCAACUCCGGGUCGGCCGUGCGAACUGGGGACUGGAGCUUGUCAGAGGCAGGCGGAAGUUCCGGGUGAUGAUGCGGGUGGAAGUGCGUAGAGAGUCCGGAAGAACACCGGUGGCGAAGGCGGCCUGCUGGGACAGUGCUGACGCUGAGGCGCGAAGCGUGGGAGCGAUC